rnacentral:rRNA from 1 species
CCUACGGGGGGCAGCAGUGGGGAAUAUUGGACAAUGGGGGCAACCCUGAUCCAGCCAUGCCGCGUGUGUGAAGAAGGCCCUCGGGUUGUAAAGCACUUUCAGUGAGGAAGAACGCCUGGUGGUUAAUACCCAUCAGGAAAGACAUCACUCACAGAAGAAGCACCGGCUAACUCCGUGCCGGCAGCCGCGGUAAUACGGAGGGUGUGAGCGUUAAUCGGAAUUACUGGGCGUAAAGCGCGCGUAGGUGGCUUGAUAAGCCGGUUGUGAAAGCCCCGGGCUCAACCUGGGAACGGCAUCCGGAACUGUCAAGCUAGAGUGCAGGAGAGGAAGGUAGAAUUCCCGGUGUAGCGGUGAAAUGCGUAGAGAUCGGGAGGAAUACCAGUGGCGAAGGCGGCCUUCUGGACUGACACUGACACUGAGGUGCGAAAGCGUGGGUAGCAAACAGGAUUAGAUACCCGGGUAGUC